CAGUAGCCGCGGUAAUACGUAGGUGGCAAGCGUUGUCCGGAAUUAUUGGGCGUAAAGGGCUCGCAGGCGGUUUCUUGGGUCUGAUGUGAAAGCCCCCGGCUCAACCGGGGAGGGCCAUUGGAAACUGGGAAACUUGAGUGCAGAAGAGGAGAGUGGAAUUCCACGUGUAGCGGUGAAAUGCGUAGAGAUGUGGAGGAACACCAGUGGCGAAGGCGACUCUCUGGUCUGUAACUGGCGCUGAGGAGCGAAAGCGUGGGGAGCGAACAGGAUUAGAUACCCGGGUAGUCCCUGUCUCUUAUAC
rnacentral:rRNA from 1 species